rnacentral:tRNA from 1 species
GGGGGCAUAGCUCAGUUGGGAGAGCAGCAGACUGAAGACAUUCUUGUAUUCUGAAGGUCCCGCGUUCGAUCCGCGGUGCCCCCA